CUCCCAUAUCCAAAUCACCCUUUACCAGUCCACCUCUACUACUCAUGAACUCAUCAGUUGCCCACCUUUUAUUGACAGCUGAACCGUCUGUAGUAGGGUUCCCAACUUUUGUUAGCUCAUAAUUGUUAACAUCUAAAUUGCUGGCUAGAGUGCCACCGUCGCGCUUAAGAAACUGUGAACACCAGGAAGUCAUAGAACCGUAAGAAACAGCACUAGAAGAUCCCGUUGACCCGCUAUUUAGCCCCGUAAUAG
rnacentral:lncRNA from 1 species